rnacentral:rRNA from 1 species
GACGAACGCUGGCGGCGUGCUUAACACAUGCAAGUCGAACGGACAGGCCCUGCUUUUGUGGGGUGCUCGAGUGGCGAACGGGUGAGUAACACGUGAGUAACCUGCCCUUGACUUUGGGAUAACUUCAGGAAACUGGGGCUAAUACCGGAUAGGAGCUCCUGCUGCAUGGUGGGGGUUGGAAAGUUUCGGCGGUUGGGGAUGUACUCGCGGCUUAUCAGCUUGUUGGUGGAGUAGUGGUUUACCAAGGCUUUGACGGGUAGCCGGCCUGAGAGGGUGACCGGGCACAUGGGGACUGAGAUACGGACCAGACUCCAACGGGAGGCAGCAGGGGGGAGUAUUGCACAGUGGGCGGAAGCCUGAUGCAGCAGCGUCGGGUGCGGGAUGACGGGCUUCGGGGUGUAAACCGCUUUCGCCUGUGACGAAGAGUGAGUGACGGUAAUGGGUAAAGAAGCACCGGCUAACUACGUG